UUACUGUCUCCAGAAAUCCAAAGACGCCACUUUACGCCAGAAAUACUCCUGGUGGGUUAGGGUUUUACUCAAGGAAAUGCUGCAGUAGAAAAUUACCAUUUCUCUGUGCUGUUUUCAGAGUUUCCUCAGUGACUCCAAUGGGAAGACAUGGAUAUGAACUACUGAUGAAAAUUAGAUACAAACGUCAAUGCUUUGCUGUCCAGUGAAACCAGCCUUGUUUUAAAAAAGAAGGAGAGAGAGAAAAGAAAAAAGAAGCUGUUUCUAGGCAAAGAGCAGAGGACGUGGGAAUAACAUCCUCCAUUCAGCUUCAUCCCCUCAAAAGCUCAUUUGUAGAACUGGGUAAACACACACCUUCCGCAUCUAUUUUUGAAAUUACGUUGAGGAAUAUACGGAGUGUUAUCUGUAAAAGAAGCAACUUUUGAAACUUUAGUUGAUGUAAAAUGUUCCAAGAUUCAUGA